GCUAAUUAAUUAAUAACCAAUUUCAGAUAAAUAAUUAAUUAAUAUUUAUUUCAUACUUAAAUGAUGUCCCAUACGAAUUAAAAACUUUGGGAUUGGGGUGGGAAAACACCAAAAUUGGAUGGAAAAACAUCGGGAUGAGGGGGAAAACCCUAAAAUAAAACACAAAACACCAGGAUGGGGUGAAAAAAUAUAAAAACCAGACAGAAAAGCAGCAAAAUAAAGGAAAAAAACCAGAAUGAGGCGGAAUUUUGGGAUGAAGGAUUUGGACUUUGGGAUGAAGGAUUUGGAUUUUGGGAUGAAGGAUUUGGAUUUUGGGAUGAAGAAUUUGAAAUUAAGGUGUUGGAGCUUUUCCACCAUGGAGGCUCCAAGCUCUUCCCAAAUCACAAGGAGAAGAAGUCCAAGGUUCCGUGGCCGUAGGGGUUGGAAGUCCACACGAGGUCACUCCUCCUGGAAUUCGCCAACAUUUGGCAAAACUCAACAUUGGCUGCCGCCAAAAGUUCCUCGUCCACCAGUUCCUCAAAAUUCCAGGCGGAUUCCGGCGGCGGUGGCUCCGGCUUGCAGCAAUCCACGGGAAGGCAUAGACGACCAGGUGGAGGUCGCGCAGCUCCAAGAUUUUCUGGAGCAGAUCCUUGAGCGUGGCAGUGGACAUGGGAUUGCCAUAGACUCCCAGGAAACACAGGUGCGAGCAGUGGCGCAGCAGCGGCAGCAGCGCAUCCAGAUGGGAGUUGGCCAUGCAGCAUUCCAUGAGAUCCAGGUGCAGCAGUGAGGCUGAGGUUUCCUCCAGGAGCAGCCGCAGAGGCUCCAGGAGGCCCUGGGAGAAGUCAUGUCUGCUCAGGUCCAAGCGCUUGAGGGCCAGAGCUUGGAAGCUUUGGGAGAGGAAGGCGAGGUCGGCAGGAACGAGGGAGCAGAAGGCCAAUUCCAAGCUUUCCAAUGGAGCCUGGAGGUCGCUGGAGGGAGGGAAAAGGGAGAGGUGAAGAUUGGUUGGGAUUUGUGGGCAAUGAGAGCUGGGAUUGCAUCCAUCUCUGUCUUGGGAAAGAGCUCCCAAGACCAUCAAGGUCAAGGUUUGAGAAUGAUGGAAUUGUGAAGUCAAGUAGUGGAGUUACGGAAUGGCUGUGGUUGGGAAAGAUCUCCAAAAACAUUGAGUUUGACCUCUGAAAAUCCUGGGAUUUUGGAAUGAUGGGAUCAUGGGAUUGCGGGAUGGGUGAGGUUGGGAAAGAGCUCCAGGACCAUCAAGUCUGACCUCUAAAAAUCCUGGUGUUUUUGGAAUGAUGGGAUUGUGGGAUUGUGAGAUAGGUGAGGUUGGGAAAAGUCUUCAAGAACAUUGAGUUUGACCUCUGAAAAUCCUGGGAUUUUGGUAUGAUGGGAUCAUGGAGUUAUGGAAUUAUGGAUGCAUGAGAUUAUGGGCUCAUGGAGUAGCGGGGUCAUGGAAUCAUGGAAUUAUGGAAUGGCUGAGGUUGGGGAAAACCUCCAAGACUAUCAAGUUCAAGAAUUGAAAAUCAUGAAAUUAUGGAAUGUGGGAUCAUGAAGUUCUGGAAUCAUAAUUCAUGGAAUUGUGGAAUGUAGGAUCAUGGGACGCUGGGAUCCCAGAGUUCUGGAGUCAUGGAGAGACUUUUUGGCAGAGGAAGAGGAGGUCGGCGGGAACGAGGGAGCAGAAGGCCAAUUCCAAGCUUUCCAACGGAGCCUGCAGGUCACUGGAGGGAGGGAAAAGGGAGAGGUGAGGAUUGGUUGGGAUUCACAGGGAGAACGUGGGGAAAGAUCUCCAAGAACAUCAAGUUUGACCUCUGAAAAUCCUGGGAUUUUGGAGUGAUGGGAUCAUGGAGUUAUGGAAUGACUGAAGUUGGGAAAGAGCUCCAAGAACAUUGAGUGUGACCUCUGAAAAUCUUGGGAUUUUGGAGUAAUGGGGUCAUGGAAUCAGGGAAUUACUCAGGUCAGGAAAGAUCUCCAAGACCAUCAAGUUCAAGGUUUGAGAAUCAUGGAAUUAGGGGAUCACAGAGCCAUGGAAUUGUGGGAUGGGUGAGGUUGAGAAAGAACUCCUAGAACAUCGAGUUCAACCUCUGAAAAUCCUGGGAGUUUGGAGUUAUGGGGUCAUGGAAUCAUGGAAUCACUUAGGUCAGGAAAAGUCUCCAGGACCAUCAAGGUCAUGAUUUGAGAAUCAUGGAAUUAUGGGAUCAUGGGGUCAUGGAAUUCUGGAAUCAAAUUGUGGAAUUAUGGAGUGGCUGAGGUUGGGAAAGAGCUCCAAGAACAUCCAAGUUCAACCUCUGAAAAUCCUGGGAUUUUUGGAGUGAUGGGAUCAUGGAGUUAUGGAAUGACUCAGGUUGGGAAAGAUCUCCAAACCCAUCAAGUUCAAGGUUUGAGAAUCAUGGAAUUGUGGGAUCACAGAGCCAUGGAACUGUGGAAUGACUGAGGUUGAGAAAGAGCUCCAAGAACAUCAAGUUUGACCUCUGAAAAUCCUGGGAUUUUGGAGUUAUGGGGUCAUGGAAUUGUGGAAUGACUCAGGUUGGGAAAGAUCUCCAAGACCGUCAAAUUGAAGGUUUGAAAGUCAUGGAAUUCUGGGAUCAUGGAGUCAUGGAAUUGUGGAAUCAAAUAAUGGAAUUAUGGAGUUACUCAGGUUGGGAAAGGUCUCCAACGCCAUCAGGUUUGACAUCUGAAGAUCAUGGGAUCAUGGAGUUAUGGAAUGGCUGAGGUUGGGGGAAACCUCCAAGACCAUCAAGUUCAAGGUUUGAAAAUCAUGAAAUUAUGGGAUCAUGGAGUCAUGGAAUUGUGGAAUGACUCAAGUUGGGAAAGGUCUCCAAGAACAUUGAGUUUGAACUCUGAAAAUCCUGGGAGUUUGGAGUUAUGGGAUCAUGGAGUUAUGGAAUGAGUGAGAUUGGGAAAGAGCUCCAAGAAUAUCAAGUUCAAGGUUUGAGAAUAAUGGAAUUAUGGGUUCACAGAGCCAUGGAAUUGUGGAAUGGCUGAGAUUGGGAAAGAGCGCCAAGAAAACCAAGUUUGACCUCUGAAAAUACUGGGAUUUUGGAAUAAUGGGAUCUUGGAGUUAUGGAAUGGCUGAGGUUGGGAAAGAUCUCCAGGAACAUCAAGGUCAAAGUUGGAGAAUCAUGGAAUUAUGGGAUCAUGGAAUUGUGGAAUCAAAUAAUGGGAUUAUGGAAUUACUGAGGUUGGGAAAGGUCUCCAACACCAUUAGGUUUGACAUCUGAGGAUCAUGGGAUCAUGGAGUUAUGGAAUUAUGGAUCCAUGAGAUUAUGGGGUCAUGGAGUUGUGUGGUCGUGGAAUUGGGGAAUUAUGGAUUGGCUGAGGUUGGGGAAAACCUCCAAGACUAUCAAAUUCAAGCUCUGAAAUUACGGAAUGAUGGGAUCAUGGGAUCUGGGAUCAUAAUUCAUGGAAUUGUGGAAUGUGGGAUCAUGGAAUGUUGGGAUCCCAGAGUUCUGGAGCCAUGGAGAGACUCUUUGGCAGAGGAAGGCGAUGUCGGCGGGAACGAUGGAGCAGAAGGCCAAUUCCAAGCUUUCCAACGGAGCCUGCAGGUCGCUGGAGGGAGGGAAAAGGGAGAGGUGAGGAUAGGUUGGGAUUCACAGGGGAAAUGUGGGGAAAGAUCUCCAAGAACAUCAAGUUUGACCUCUGAAAAUCCUGGGAUUUGGGAACGAUUGGAUCAUGGAGUCAUGGAAUAGCUGAGGUUGGGGAAAACCUCCAAGACCAUCAAGUUCAAGGUUUAAAACUCAUGGAAUUAUGAGAUCACAGUGUUACAUGACUUUGCAAGGGUUCCUCAGGGUGAGAGAGAUAGACGAGAAGGCUGGAUUUAUUAUUUUAUGAUUAUUUAUUAUUUUAUGAUAUAUAAUACAUUAUGACUAUACUAAAAGGAAUACAGAGAAAAGUUCAGAAGCUACUAAGCUAAGAAUAGAAUAGAAGUAGGAAUGAAUAACAAAGUUCUGUGUCCAGGCAGAAAGCAAGGACAAACUCUCCCGUGAGUGGUCAGCAAAUCCAAACACUCACAGAAGACCAAUCACAGAUGCACCUGUUACAUUCCACAGCAGCAGAUAAUAAUUGUUUACAUUUUUCUUCUGAGGCCUCCGCUUCCCAGAAGAGGAAAACUCCUAAAAGAAAGGAUUUUUAUGAAAGAAUGUCCGUGACAUCUUACCUUUCCAAAUUAUAUAAAUUAAAAAGAAAAAUGCUGAUGUGGAAUGAACAGGAAAUUUCUUCACCUGUAUAACAUAUGAUAAUAACAAAUCACUAAAACAAUCUUACAAUCUAAGAAAAUGCAAAAAAACAACACAAAGAAAAUUCAAGUCCAAGCAGCUGAGUUUCAGGAACAGUCCAUGGGCUGAAAAUGUUCCUCUUGGACAUAUCUGAAAGUCCUUUUUGGUCCUGAAACAGGCUUUCUGCAAAAAGUCCCAUCAAUAGUUAUCAAAAACCAUUGACGGUCAUAAAACAAUUUCAAACAAUUUCAAACAAUUUGAACAAUUUGUGGAAUGUCCUUUUCUGGCCCUUCAAUGCUUCAGUGCUUCAGAGCUGCUGCCAGCUAUUUCAGUCUUUUUUUAUUUAAUGUUUAAUUUUUUUUUUUCCUAUCGAAAAGAGCAGCAGCAGCAAAGCAGCCAGAGCCAGAGAAAGAAAGGCCCUGGGGGCCCUGGCCCUUUAACGGACCAGGAACCCCAAAGCUGGCCCACAAAAGGCGGGCCAGGACCGGUAGGAGAAACCACAACUCCCAGAGACAUCAGGAGGCCACACAGUGGCCCUGGCCCAGAAACUUCCUGAGCCCAACAGCCCAGGCCAAACCCAUGAAGCAGGCUCUGCAUUCCCACAGGCCUGCACCCUACUGCCAGUACAAUGGCAGCACGGGUGGUGAGACGCUUCCUUUCCCCAAAACCACUGAGGCAUGCCAGCAGCAGGGAAAUAGAAGCCUUCCCCAGAAAUCCCGUCUUGGGUCUGGAGAUGUUUGUUCCUCACAGCAAACAAGCCAUGGUCUCUUCCAGCUGUGCCCUCUCCCUCUGCAAUGCAAAUGCAUCAGGUGUGUUUCCCAUCUGCCUCAUGGCACCACCCCCUCUGGGCUGGGGACCACAGGCAGAAUUCUCGGGACGCACCUGCCCCCUGCACCUGCGCCGCUAGGGCGCAAGAGAAACGGCAGAGAUGGCAACCUCUAAGGGACAGCAACUGACCAAAAACUCCCCAACCCGCUGAGAAUGCUCAUCUUGAAAGCAGGCAGGCGGGCUGCCCCCCGCCCCCCAGCUGUCGGGCCGCGCCGGUUCCAUGGAAGGAGUGGCUGAUGCCCUCUUCCCCUGUCCCAGCUCGCCCCACAGGGGCUGCAGGGGCAGCCCCGGGACAACCCGAAACACUCGGGGGGGAAAUCACGCUGGGUUUAGGAGCGGCUGCGGGCUGCUCUGAGGGUCCCGUGGGUUCAGCGCUGUCUUCAGCACCAUCCGGAACAGGGACUGUCUCGGCUUCAGGCGGCGGGGAGGCUGGUGGAAGCGGCGGGGGGGGCGAGGGGGCUGGAGAGGAUUCCUCCUCCGCUGAGCCGGAAGCUGCAGACGCGUCUUCGUUGCCUAGCAACAGUGGCUCAGCUGCAGGAAACGACACUGCUGUGUCCCUUGGCUCUGAAAGCGGCGGCAGGCAAGGCGCGGGGUCGGCGCCGUCUUCUGACUCUGCUGCUGACUCUGGGGUCAGCCAUGGAGAUGCAGUCGCCGGCGGAACGCACAUGGACAGCGGCGAAACAGCCGGGAGGGGUGGCGGUGAAACACCCGGGAGGGGCGGCGGUGGAGAAUCGCUGUUGCCUAGCAACAUCAGCGCAGGCAGGGAAACCAGCAGAGGGGGAGGCAGGAUCGCCCGGAGAGGUGGCCGUGCCAGCGGGGCAGGUUUUGGAGGUGUCCGCAGUGCUGGCAGGGGCGGGGGGGCCUCGGAGACCGGUACCACCCCCAUCUCUGAGCGGGGCGGGGUCCGAGAGGCUGGCUGUGGCAGCACCGCCCACUCCCAUCCCCCUGGAGAGAGAGAAGGAGGGGAAGAGGCCGCUCCAUCUGCGCACGCUCGGGAGAAAGAGUAAAAAAAACAACUUCUUCUCAUGGCGAAGUUUCACCGCCCCUCCGCCGGGGGGCAGGGGGGGCUGGGAAGCAGCAUCUCAUCCCCCUCCAAAGGGUCUUCUCCCACUGGGAAUGGAGGAAACGGAACUUGCCCUGUGCAAUUAGCAAUCCAGGAAAAAACAGCUGCUCUCCGCUUCAAAACUGGAAAGAGCUUUCUUAAAUGCUGGGUAGACGGGAGGGAAUCCGCACCCCUGACCCCAAACGAAUCGGAAAAAGGAGUCCAUGCACUCCCAUACGAAAACAUCCAAGGCAAAUAGCACAUCAGUAAAGAAUCCAAAAAGCUUUGCCCAUUGAAAGAACUCAUAGAGAUCUGUUUCUGACAGGAAAAGUCCGUCCUCUUCAUCCCAUUUUUGCCAGAGGGCAAUAAGCUUCUCCUCUGAAGGAGAGAAAUGAACCUCAUUGUCCAGAGGGGACAUUCCCCAUAUGAACAGCCACAAACUACGAAAGUCUGGUUCAUCAGGAAGGGAAAAGCCAACAGUACCUUUUGAAAGAGUCCAGCAAGCUCUGGCCAGCUCCACGGUUCUGCUGCUCUUUUCAAACAUCUUCCUGGAGGGGUUUCAGGUUCACUUAUGGUCAGCCUUGGCUGUGAACUCUGUCCAAAUCAGGAUCUUCAGUUCUUCAGCUCCUGGCUUGAAUCCACUUCUGUGGUCACUUCUAAAGCAAUCGUCAAAUGCUACACAUACAGGAUUUUAGCCAGUGCAGCAAUUUGCUCCUCUGGUCUUAUCAAAUUAAUAUUUGUCCUUACACGAGGGGUCCACCAAAUGUUACAUGGCUUUGCAAGGGUUCCUCAGGGUGAGAGAGAUAGAUGAGAAUCUUGGUCUCAUGAUCAGAAGGCUGGAUUUAUUAUUUUAUGAUAUAUAAUACAUCAUGACUAUACUAAAAGGAAUACAGAGAAAAGUUCAGAAGCUGCUAAGCUAAGAAUAGAAUAAGAAUCUAAAACCAAGUGCUCUCUGUGAAUCUGUCCCCGAGCUUGGUCCUGUGAUUGGCCGUUAAUUGUACACAUGGAACAUGAGCCAAUCACAGGUGCACCUAUUGCAUUCCACAUCAGCAGAUAAUUAUUCUUUACAUUCUCUUUCUGGGGCCUCAGCUUCCCAGAAGAGGAAAACUCCAAAAAGAAAAGAUUUUUAUGAAAGAAUGUCUGUGACAGUCUGUGACAGGGCUGAGACCAGAGCCCAGUGGAUUCUGUGUCUGCCAUCACCUGUUGGGACAAAAAGGGCACUGAUCUGUGCCUCGGUGUGGCUGAUCUCAAAGCCCAUCCUGUUGUGUCCUGAAUGGGAGCAACAGCUUGUCCGGGGCUCAGGCUGGCUCUGGCUUCUUCCCAUCAGUGCCUGUCAGUGCUCAUGCUUGGGCUUUGCCAGCCUUGUUGUGGUCGCUGCCCUGUCCCUGAGGCCUGGAGGGACUGCAGAGGCUGGAGCCUUCCUUAGCUGGGAGAGGGGCAUCUUUGAGCUCAGCCUGCUCAUAAACAGGUCAGGGUCCUGAUGCUGAAAGCCCCGUCAGGAUCAGUUACAGCUUGAGCUGCUCUGGUUUACAAAUGGGAAGGCAUUCUUUUGGCAAACUGCUGAAAGGUGGGGAAGAUGUCCUCCUCUCCUGGGAUUGCACAUCCCUGUGCUUUGUUUCCUGUCAAGAGAACUCUUCAAAAGACUGUACAAAUCAGUCUCUGUGCUGGCCACCUGUGCUGCAGGGCUGUCUGCCUGGUUGUGGUUGUUGUUACCCAGCUGACCACAAAGGGCUCAGAGCUCCAGGCACUGGGGCUACCUUUUGUAUCUCCUGGAAGCUGGGAUCUCUGCUUUAAAGUCAGCAUCUUGCAUUUUGUUUCCCUCAGGGAGAAUGGUGAACCCCACUGAAAAUCCCCUGAUGAAAUACACGCAUCUGAAAUAUAUUGGCAUUGGGACUUUUGGAGAUGUUUAUAGAGCACUGGACACUGCCACAGGAGGUGAGGUGGCAAUAAAAAAGUAAAUCUUCAAGGACUGCAGAGGAAGGAGCUAACCCUUAACGAAAUAAUGAUCAUGAAGAGGUAUAGGAGUCCCAAUGUUGUGAGUUAUUUAGACAGCUACCUUCUGAGCGAGGAACUCUUGC